rnacentral:rRNA from 1 species
GACGAACGCUGGCGGCGUGCUUAACACAUGCAAGUCGAGCGGUAAGGCUCCUUCGGGCGUACACGAGCGGCGAACGGGUGAGUAACACGUGAGUAAUCUGCCCUUCACUUCGGGAUAACCACCGGAAACGGUGGCUAAUACCGAAUACGACCAGUCUUCGCAUGAGGUGCUGGUGGAAAGUCUUUUCGGUGAAGGAUGUGCUCGCGGCCUAUCAGCUUGUUGGUGGGGUAAUGGCCUACCAAGGCUUCGACGGGUAGCCGGCCUGAGAGGGUGACCGGCCACACUGGGACUGAGACACGGCCCAGACUCCUACGGGAGGCAGCAGUGGGGAGUAUUGGACAAUGGGCGAAAGCCUGAUCCAGCAACGCCGCGUGAGGGAUGACGGCCUUCGGGUUGUAAACCUCUUUCAGUACCGACGAAGCGCCCUGUCGGGUGGUGACGGUAGGUACAGAAGAAGGACCGGCCAACUACGUG